rnacentral:rRNA from 1 species
GACGAACGCUGGCGGCGUGCUUAACACAUGCAAGUCGAACGGAAAGGCCCUGCUUGCAGGGUGCUCGAGUGGCGAACGGGUGGGUAACACGCGGGUGAUCUGCCCCUUACUUUGGGAUAAGCCUGGAAAACUGGGUCUAAUACUGGACAGGACCAUGCUGUAGGUGGUGUGGUGGAAAGAUUAGUUUCGGUAAGGGUUGAGGUCGCGGCCUAUCAGCUUGUUGGUGGGGUAUUGGCCUACCAAGGCGUCGACGGGUAGCCGGCCUGAGAGGGUGGACGGCCACAUUGGGACUGAGAGACGGAGCAGAGGCCUACGCGAGGCAGCAGUGGGGAAUAUUGGAAAAUGGGCGCAAGCCUGAUGCAGCGACGCCGCGUGGGGGAUGAAGGCCUUCGGGUUGUAGACUCCUAUCGGCCAUGACGAAGCCCUUGUGGUGACGGUAGUGGUAGAAGAAGCACCGGCUAACUACGUG